GACCUGCCUCCCUCGACCGCACGGCGCCCUCGACGACCCGCCGCCGCACGCCGCCCUCGACCAACCAACCCGCCGCCCUCGACCAGCCGCUUAGAGAGAUGAGAGAAGUUCCUGAUAAGUCAUGGAUUGAUAUUCCUAUAUUGAAAAGAAGAGCGAAAGGUGAUACUCGAUAUCGAGACGGAUGGGAAGCAUUCCUUGAAUAUGCAUAUGCUAAUCCGAGGAAGAUAGAGAACGAUGUAGAGGGAAAUGACAAAAAAGGUGGAGAAAAUUUGGAAUUUAAUAUGUGAUUAGUUUCCUAGGAAGAUAGAAAACUGAUUUCAUAUGAUUAAUUUGGAAUUUAAUAUGCUAAUCCGAGGAAGAUAGAAAAGUGAUUUCAUGUGAUUAGUUUCCUGCAUGCACAGAGAUCCGCCCAGCCGUGUCAGGCGAAAGUCCCACUCCCCGUCGUGAGAGUCCCGUGAGAAGUGUCUUAUGCCGGGCAGCAGUAGCUCCGACCAUUCCUCCCUCUUGAGAUCGAACUGGGAUAUUGCCUCGUUGUCGUUGUGCAGGUCACCGACAGCCAGCCGCCAUGUAAAAAUACCUGGCAGGAAAUGGACGGCUUCGUCGACGACGACCCAACUCUCGUCAUGAAUCCAAAAGGGGGGCCCUCCUUGAUCUCCCUCCAUCUCCCUGACCCAAG